UGACGCUUUCCCCAAGGACACAAGCCAUGCAUGCCCGCACACCCGGGACGCGGCGGACGGCUCAGGACAACGGUUGCACCCCCCGCGGCGGUCACUGCUAGCCGGACACCGCUGGCAACCCGGCGCCAAGACGUGCGUGCAAGUGCGGGCGCCCGCGGGCGAGCAGCGUGACGCAG
rnacentral:rRNA from 1 species